GACGAACGCUGGCGGCGCGCCUAACACAUGCAAGUCGAACGGAGCUGAGAGAAGCUUGCUUUUCUUAGCUUAGUGGCGAACGGGUGAGUAACGCGUGAGUAACCUGCCCUGGAGUGGGGGACAACAGUUGGAAACGACUGCUAAUACCGCAUAAGCCCACGAUCCGGCAUCGGAUUGAGGGAAAAGGAUUUAUUCGCUUCAGGAUGGACUCGCGUCCAAUUAGCCAGUUGGUGAGGUAACGGCCCACCAAGGCGACGAUUGGUAGCCGGACUGGGAGGUUGAACGGCCACAUUGGGACUGAGACACGGCCCAGACUCCUACGGGAGGCAGCAGUGGGGGAUAUUGCACAAUGGAGGAAACCCUGAUGCAGCGACGCCGCGUGGAGGAAGAAGGUUUUCGGAUUGUAAACUCCUGUCGUUAGGGACGAUAAUGACGGUACCUAACAAGAAAGCACCGGCUAACUACGUG
rnacentral:rRNA from 1 species